UGGGGAAUUUUGGACAAUGGGCGAAAGCCUGAUCCAGCAAUGCCGCGUGUGUGAAGAAGGCCUUCGGGUUGUAAAGCACUUUUGUCCGGAAAGAAAUCCUUGGCUCUAAUACAGUCGGGGGAUGACGGUACCGGAAGAAUAAGCACCGGCUAACUACGUGCCAGCAGCCGCGGUAAUACGUAGGGUGCAAGCGUUAAUCGGAAUUACUGGGCGUAAAGCGUGCGCAGGCGGUUUGCUAAGACCGAUGUGAAAUCCCCGGGCUCAACCUGGGAACUGCAUUGGUGACUGGCAGGCUAGAGUAUGGCAGAGGGGGGUAGAAUUCCACGUGUAGCAGUGAAAUGCGUAGAGAUGUGGAGGAAUACCGAUGGCGAAGGCAGCCCCCUGGGCCAAUACUGACGCUCAUGCACGAAAGCGUGGGGAGCAAACAGGAUUAGAUACCCUGGUAGUCCACGCCCUAAACGAUGUCAACUAGUUGUUGGGGAUUCAUUUCCUUAGUAACGUAGCUAACGCGUGAAGUUGACCGCCUGGGGAGUACGGUCGCAAGAUUAAAACUUUAAAUGAAUUGACGGGGUCAUAGCUGUUUCCU
rnacentral:rRNA from 1 species